CUCCAGAUGUUGCUGAACUACAACUCCCAUGAUUCUCAGCAUAUCUAUUGCAACUCAUGGGAGUUGUAGUUCAGCAACAUCUGGAG